rnacentral:rRNA from 1 species
UACAGGAGGGUGCGAGCGUUAAUCGGAAUUACUGGGCGUAAAGCGUGCGUAGACGGCUAUCUAAGUCGGGUGUGAAAGCCCCGGGCUCAACCUGGGAAUUGCAUUCGAGACUGAAUAGCUAGGGUGCGGUAGAGGGAAGCGGAAUUUCCGGUGUAGCGGUGAAAUGCGUAGAUAUCGGAAGGAACAUCAGUGGCGAAAGCGGACUUC